CAGAAAGACAUCCCCCAGCAAGAGGAGGAUGCCCAAUGCCUGACUCUGGGCUCUGUGCACAUGCACCACACACACACACACACACACACCACUCACUCAUAUACACAAAGAACACAACUUGAAGUAACUAAAAAGAAACCAGAAGCCUAUCUAUUUCUCUCUCUCUCCAAAAUAAGCCAAAUACAUUCUCUCACCCCUCCGUGUGUGUGUGUGUGUGUGUGUGUGUGUAAACAAACACUAAGUCUGCACUCUGCCAUUUCCUCAGGGUGCAGGAGUCGGACAGAACUUAAAGUAAUGAGCCUCAUGUUUAAAGUUUUACAAUUUUAGGAACUUGUGGAUAUUAACUCUUGAAAGUAAUACAUCUCCUUGUUCUAAGCUUGACUCUAACUAUAAAUACAGGAUGCCAAGCAGAAUCUCAGGGCCCUCCACCAUUCCACCCACCUCCAAUAUGUUCUUCUCAUUAAUGUGUUGCUUUUACACCUUCAAAGACACUGAAGUCCCUGAAAGCAGAACAAGUUCUGGAGAUGGCUCAGUCAGAAAGGCGCUUGAUGUGCAAGAGCUGACUUUGGUUCCAGCACUCAGGACAUCUGUGAGCACACGUUAGUGUGCAUCAUAUUUUACACUGGAUGUAACUGAGCUACAACCAGAAUUCAGUAAAAAGCAGAAAACUUAAGAUAUAUGAGGCUCAAACACCUCUCAUGCAUGUGACUUCAACCAAAGUCCAGGCUGGCAUGAUGGCACACACUUGGAAUCCCAGCACUGAAGAAGCACAGACAAGUAGAUGGAUUCCUGGGUCUUUCUGGCCAGCCAGUACAGCCUAUUCAACAAGCUCUAGGCCUCAAUGACCCUGUCUCAAAAACAAAAUGAAAGCAGCCGUGCUGGAUAUUUCCAAGAGGGACACCUCCUCUGAACGGUAAAGGAAAAUUAACCCUCCUUCCUUGGAGUUGUUUCAGCCAGGUAUUGUUACAGAAGCAAGAAAAGCAUUGACCACACACAGGUGAGGUGAAAGUAGAAAGCGCGUAUUCCGUGUCCUCUCUAGUCCACCGCCCACGGAAGCUAAGCGUGUGGUCCACUCUUGUCACCCAUGCUUCCCUCUUGUUCUAAGGUCUCAGAACCCGUUCCAGAUGCUCCCACCACCACCUCUGGCCACCUCUCCAUCUCGU